rnacentral:rRNA from 1 species
GACGGAGGGUGCAAGCGUUGUUCGGAAUUACUGGGUGUAAAGGGUUCGUAGGCGGUGUGGCAAGUCGGGAGUGAAAUCUCUGGGCUUAACACAGGGGCUGCUUCCGAAACUGCUGUGCUAGAGUGUGGGAGAGGCGCGUGGAAUUGCAGGUGUAGCGGUGAAAUGCGUAGAUAUCCGCAGGAACACCCGUGGCGAGAGCGGCGCGCUGGACCACUACUGACGCUGAGGCGCGAAAGCUAGGGGAGCAAACAGG